AGCGAACGCUGGCGGCAGGCCUAACACAUGCAAGUCGAACGAAGUCUUCGGACUUAGUGGCGGACGGGUGAGUAACACGUGGGAACGUGCCUUUAGGUUCGGCAUAACUCAGGGAAACUCGUGCUAAUACCGAAUGUGCCCUUCGGGGGACAGAUUUAUCGCCUUUAGAGCGGCCCGCGUCUGAUUAGCUAUUUGGUGAGGUAAAGGCUCACCAAGGUUACGAUCAGUAGCUGGUAUGGGAGGAUGACCAGCCACAUUGGGACUGAGACACGGCCCAAACUCCUACGGGAGGCAGCAGGGGGGAAUCUUGCGCAAUGGGCGAAAGCCUGACGCAGCCAUGCCGCGUGGAUGAUGAAGGUCUUAGGAUUGUAAAAUCCUUUCACCGGUGAAGAUAAUGACUGUAGCCGGAGAAGAAGCCCCGGCUACCUUCGUGCCAGCCGCCGCGGUAAAAC
rnacentral:rRNA from 1 species